rnacentral:rRNA from 1 species
UACGUAGGGUGCGAGCGUUUGUCCGGAAUUAUUGGGCGUAAAGAGCUUGUAGGCGGUUUUGUCGCGUCUGCCGUGAAAUUUUCGGGGCUCAACCCCGAACUUGCGGUGGGUACGGGCAGACUAGAGUGUGGUAGGGGAGACUGGAAUUCCUGGUGUAGCGGUGAAAUGCGCAGAUAUCAGGAGGAACACCGAUGGCGAAGGCAGGUCUCUGGGCCACUACUGACGCUGAGAAGCGAAAGCAUGGGGAGCGAACAGG